rnacentral:tRNA from 1 species
GAGGGUGUAGCUCAGUGGUAGAAGGCAUGCCUAACAUACAUGAGGUCCUGGGUUCAAUUCCCGGUACUGUUA